rnacentral:rRNA from 1 species
CCUACGGGUGGCAGCAGUGAGGAAUAUUGGUCAAUGGGCGUAAGCCUGAACCAGCCAAGUCGCGUGAGGGAUGAAGGCUCUCUGGAUCGUAAACUUCUUUUAUAAGGGAGUAAAGUGUGGGACGUGUCCUGUUUUGUAUGUACCUUAUGAAUAAGGCUCGGCUAACUCCGUGCCAGCAGCCGCGGUAAUACGGAGGAUCCGAGCGUUAUCCGGAUUUAUUGGGUUUAACGGGUGCGUAGGCGGCCUUUUAAGUCAGCGGUGAAAGUCUGUGGCUCAACCAUAGAAUUGCCGUUGAAACUGGGAGGCUUGAGUAUGUUUGAGGCAGGCGGAAUGCGUGGUGUAGCGGUGAAAUGCUUAGAUAUCACGCAGAACCCCGAUUGCGAAGGCAGCCUGCCAGGCCAUGACUGACGCUGAUGCACGAAAGCGUGGGGAUCAAACAGGAGUAGAUACCCUUGUAGUC